UGCGUUUGGGGGGGCUUUUUUGCUCCCCUGCUUAUAAGCAACUGACCUGUGUGCGUUUGGUAAACCUGCUUUUGCCCAGCUUUUGGCAGAAGCCGCUGCUUCUUUUAGUCGAAAAGCCAAAGCCAGCAACCCCAUGCUUUUAAAAGCCAGCGCUGGCUUUUCCACUGUAGCGGGAGUUACUGUAGUUUAAUGAACAUUUCGAAAUACCGGGUUGUGCCCUCUCUUCCUUUCAGCAAUUACACCACACUGCCAUCAAACCCUUAUCUUCCAUAUCGCUGACUGCCUCCUCUCAUUCGUGUUCGAAGCCUCAAUCCAAUCCCCAGAUUUUCGUACCAGGCUCUGAAAAUCGAAAGCUUUGCAGGUUCUAUCCUAUGAUAAACUCCUUGAGCAACUUGAUCUUUCAAAUGGCAUAAUCAAAGGGAAGUUAGAUCAUUUGAAAAGAUCUGUUGAGGUUCAGUUUGCAGCUGGGAGGGAUCUGAAACCUGGACAGCUUGGGAAUAUAAUAGAGACCUUAACGGAUUGGUACUAAAGCUUGGGCUACUUUUGAUUGCCAAACUUUCUUUCCAUUUUGAUGAUCAACCAAGAAGCUUCUCCCAUAACUGAAAUAGGCGUCAUUUUUUGUGGUUACUUGAUGCAAACCAAAAACCAAUUGUUGUUAAUGUUAUUAAUAUAUUUGUAUAAGUU